rnacentral:rRNA from 1 species
AGAGUUUGAUCCUGGCUCAGGACGAACGCUGGCGGCGUGCUUAACACAUGCAAGUCGAGCGAUGAAGCUUCUUCGGAAGUGGAUUAGCGGCGGACGGGUGAGUAACACGUGGGCAACCUGCCUUGUAGAGGGGGAUAGCCUUCCGAAAGGAAGAUUAAUACCGCAUAACAUAGUUUUUCCGCAUGGUUAGACUAUCAAAGAUUUAUCGCUACAAGAUGGGCCCGCGUCGCAUUAGCUAGUUGGUGAGGUAACGGCUCACCAAGGCCACGAUGCGUAGCCGACCUGAGAGGGUGAUCGGCCACAUUGGAACUGAGACACGGUCCAGACUCCUACGGGAGGCAGCAGUGGGGAAUAUUGCACAAUGGGCGAAAGCCUGAUGCAGCAACGCCGCGUGAGUGAUGAAGGUCUUCGGAUUGUAAAGCUCUUUGAUUAGGGACGAUAAUGACGGUACCUAAAGAACAAGCCACGGCUAACUACGUGCCAGCAGCCGCGGUAAUACGUAGGUGGCAAGCGUUGUCCGGAUUUAUUGGGCGUAAAGGGAGCGUAGGCGGACCUUUAAGUCAGAUGUGAAAUACCCAGGGCUCAACCCGGGUGCUGCAUUUGAUACUGGAGGUCUAGAGUACAGGAGAGGAGAGUGGAAUUCCUAGUGUAGCGGUGAAAUGCGUAGAGAUUAGGAAGAACACCAGUGGCGAAGGCGACUUUCUGGACUGUAACUGACGCUGAGGCGCGAAAGCGUGGGGAGCGAACAGGAUUAGAUACCCUGGUAGUCCACGCUGUAAACGAU